AAGCCACAGAAGCUGUAGAAGGCGCCAUCCUGCCUGUCACAGGAGGGCCCCUGGACUGAGAGGACCGGAGCUGACUGGGGCUGGACGUUUAGCUUGGUUCCAAUGUUUACCCUUAUAAACAAUGCCACUGUGAGCAACCUUAUAGGUAAAUCUUUUUACAAAUUUUUGACAUUUUCCUGGAGAUAGAUUUCUGGGCCAUAGAAAUCGAGGUUGAUUUGGGGCGGGGGAGUUGGUAAGAUUUACCUGUAAAGGUUGAUUUGGGGGGUGGGGAGCUGGUAAGAUUUACCUGUAAUGCAUUAACUUCCUCAACUCUUUUCAUCUUCCAUCUGUUCCUUCCUUUUUCUGUCUUUUGCAGAUCAUUCAAAGCCAAAAGCCAACAGAGCCCCCAUGGAGAAGUGGGGGAUGCUCAGAUGCUGCUAUGGAGCCCUGAGAAGUGAAAUGGACCCAAGCCCUUGCCCAGGAUAGAGCGCUCCAAGUGCGUCCUCCGGGGACUCUUUUAACCAGUGCAUUGUUCACCUCUCACUGUUUCUUCCCAACAGAGCUAAGAGACUUCUAGAGCUUCUUGUGAUAGUCAGCGAUAGCCCUGGUAUGACCAGGAGGUGGGGAUUUCUGUUCUAGGUCCCUCAGCAAAGAUUAAGCAGGCCAAGCCUGGCUACUGCGUUAGAGGCGCUGUAGGGAAAGGGAAGGACAAAAUGGGCCACCACACACCUGCAUCCACUGCUGGGCAGCACCCAGAGUGCUAGCAGUUUGUGGCAGCGACUGAGGCCACCUAGAACAGUUCUAGGGUUCGUAGUCAUUCUCUCUGUGUCAUGGAAGACUGCCCAGGAGGCGAGUCCCACCUAAGAGAGUAUGUCUAAAUUUAGGCCACUGGCAUGUCCUGCUGCCUUGCAAAUGACGACAUUUCAUGAAAGAAAGCCAGGGCCACCGACAGGAAUCAAGGAAAUCAGUCACUUAGUGGAAGAUAACGAAUCCACAAAGUGAAAAGGGGAAAGAAAAAAAAGAGGCAACUUCAACACUCCAACCCCCUGGGAGCAGACCGACUUUCAGCUUUUGCAGGGGGAUGAUCACAGCCUGAAGAGGGUGAUUUCAUGAUCCAUGAGAAUAAGGUGCAUGGUUUUUUCUGAAAAAUACAGAAGGGUUCAUUUUCAGCUGUUAAAGAUGGGUCAGUUUUAGGGCUAAAGCAAGGCUCUGGUCAGAUGUUAACAACUCAGUUAUCCUGGGGAAAAAAAUAACUGGCUCCCAACUCUCCCUUUUCAGCAUUUGCAGGAAAAGAAGGAGUAGAUAAAUGCUUUCUUUCCUCUCAUUCUCCAUGGUGGGCAGGAGUUCACAUAACGAUUAGAAACCAUUUUUAACAGGAAAGCCAAGUAAAUCCUGUAGGGAUUUAUUUGGAGCUCCCUUUUUGCUAGAAAAUGAGUAUCAUGAACUAAAAAUGGACUCAUUUCCUCUCUCUCCAUCUACCUCCCUUUCUUCUCUCCCCCCAUCUCCCACCCACUGCUAUGGUGGAAAAUGACUGUGGUCAAGAAGAUUGAACAUUUGAGCAAGACCAGGUGCCUUUAUAUCCAAUAGAUGCACGGAGAGUAGAUCACAACACAUCUAACUGCUGUAUCCCCAUAGAAAAUAAUUUUAAUUUCCUAGACUGCAGAAUUGAUCACAUUUACUGAUGAUGGAUUGAGAAGUAUGUGAGGAGGUAAGAGUUGGAGAGUGUUCAUUCAUUCGGUCAGAUUAUUCUCAUUUAUAAUGUGGUCUUCCCCUAAAUAUUUAUUUCCGGAAAUCUAUUCCCUCUAGAGAUUCUUUCUCUCUCAGCCAUUUUAGAAAAUUUUUGCAAACAGAGUUCCUGUCCAUUUUCACAGGACGUUUUUGCAGAAGGGGUUUGUUGGGUGGCAGUGGAACACAGGCAGUGGACCCCUUUACUGCUACUCUACUGUUCCAGAACACAGAAGCCUUUCAUCUGUGAGUCUUCAGCUCUUCCCAUUGCUCAAGAUGCUUGCACCUGUGAUGCUUCUUUUCUCUGCUCAGGUCACAAUAUGUGGAGCUGACAAGGUUCCCCUAUUGUCAGUGACAAUGGUGGAAUGUGGAGGUGAAGUUGACACCUUCGUGGCUGCAGAUUUUCCUUAGCAGAGCUGUGGAGUGUGACAAUGGUGUUUGUGUCUAAACUAUCAAACGCCAUUAUCACACUAAAUAGCUACUACUAGGCAAUCCUUCCCUCGAUAAAUGUCCUGGCAUCGUUUGCUUUGAGCAAGAAGGUUCAUCUAAUUGUUCCCAAUCUUGUGUACUUACUGAAUAAAGUCUGGUUCUCUUGCACUCAUAACCAAUAUGAUUAGCUGAA